rnacentral:misc_RNA from 1 species
UUUGGGAGAUCGAUUCUGUGUUUCACCCUGCUCUGUAAUAAUCUCUCAAGGACAGCGUAGUGUUGCUUAAUUUAUUGCAAAAUAAGUGGUGGUAGUAGUAUUAAUCUGGUAGUAGAUUCUGAUUAAAAAAUUUCUAUUCUGUAAGAAAAUCGAAAGAAAUGAAUAUUUAUCAUAAGGAAGAGCGAAUAGUAUGGAAUUACAUAACCUUCUACAUGUCAUUUAAAAUUACCUCAAAUGAUUUUAAAUUACUAGACAAUUAGGUUAUUUGUCAACGAAGUAGUUGAUGUUCCCGGCUUUUCAUUAAAACUUUAAUAAAGCCAAAUUUGCCAACUUCAAUGCCAAAAUAUUUGACUGUCAAAUAUACUAAGUAGUAAUUACAAUACUAAUUCUAAGAUAUGUUGGAUAUAAUUUCUUUGGUGCAAGGUGAGUUAAAUGUAAAAAUGGAUAUUCCUUUCAUAGAUUUAUUAGAUAAUAGUUAGAAACACAAAAUAUCACAAUAUGCACUAACCUUACUCUGGUGGUUGGGAGUAUUAAAUUAGUGGCUACAUCCUUUUGUAUACAAUGGUUUUGGGUCGCAUGUGUUAACAGUCGAACGUAAUUUUGUGCAAUAACAAAAGUAACGACAAUUCUAGUCAUAACUAAAAAUUAUUCGAAUUGAGACCAAUGACUUAUGCCAAAGAAAAACCUCGUAAACACGUUUGCAAUACCUGCAAUAAACAGUUCUUGGGUAGUAAUGAUUUGCGCAAGCAUAUGCGCAUUCAUUCAAAUGAACGUCCGUUUAUUUGUAAUGAGUGUAAUAGAGCAUUCCGGCAGGCCGGCUCAUUAAAGAACCAUAUAGCAUCACAACACUCAACGAACAUAAAAAGUCUAGAAAUGUACGUAUGCGAUUUUUGUCAAAAGGCAUUUCCAAUUAAAGAACGUCUGCGCUUGCACUUACGUACGCAUACAGGUUUAAAACCCUACCUGUGUUCGGUAUGUCCGAAGUCGUUUGCUCGUGGUGGUCAACUGGUACAGCACAUGCGCACUCACACAGGCUCUCGUCCCUACAUUUGUAAUAUUUGUGAAUCAUCGUUCACGUGUUCAGCGAACCUUAAGUCACAUAUUAAACGACAUCAGGAAAUUCGCGAUUAUGUUUGCGAUCUUUGUGGAAAAUCCUUUUUUCGACGAGAUGCUCUAAAGAAACACCUUAAUUGUUAUCAUGCAAAUGUUCGUGCUUUUCACUGCAAAAUAUGCAACAAGAUGCUUAAGGGACAUUUACCGCAACAUAUGCGUCUACACCGAAAUGAGAAGCCCCAUGGUUGUGCGCAUUGCCGGGCUCGGUUCGCACAGCGAUCACAACUCACUGUACAUCAACGUAUACACAGUGGUGAAAAACCUUAUAGAUGUCAAGUUUGUUGGAAAGCAUUCGCACAUUCUACCGCUCUUAAAUUACACACUAGACGUCAUACGGGAGAAAAACCAUUUCGUUGCAUUUUAUGUGAUAAUGUUGCUUUUUCACAAUUGCCGCAUCUUAAGAAGCACAUGUUCUGUAUUCAUAAAUCGGAUAAACCAUAUGUUUGCCAAUACUGUAGAUCUUUUUAUCGUACAAAAAAUGAUUUAGAACAUCAUCAGAGCGAUUGUGUCAAAGCUCCUGAUAGAGACGAGACUAAAGUAAUUGUUAAUGGUGUGGAACCACCUAUGCGAAUAGAAAAGAUGCGGUUAUUAUUGGCAGUUUUAUUAAAAAAAAUUUCUGCACCGGAACGGCUAGAGGAAUUGGGGUUUAAUAGAAAACUGAUUGAUGACGUGCUCAUGGAAUCGAUUGAAGGAUCUGGAAGAGAACCAUGUCAUGAUCCCACUCUUUCAGAUGCUGAAAGGUUAAAAACCAAUGUGCAAAUUCUUCUAGAUUGGACAGUUCCCAAACAUUACAUGGAAAAGUUUAAAAACGAGCAGCGUUCUACCGAAGAACUCUUAGAGGAAUUGACAUCAUAAUUUUAAUUAACUGUUACAGAUCAAGAAUUCUAAGAUGUAGAUUAAUAUUUUGUUUUAGGCUAUUAAAAGGAAAACAAAUUCUAAACCAAUUCUGUGCAAUUACGGCGAGUAGGACGUACUGUAUUUAAAACAAAGGAAUUUGUAGAGAAAACGAAGAAAUUAUUUAUAGAAGUACAGAUAAUUAAUUAAUUUUAAUUGGUCUUUAUAUCUCCUUAAUAACGACAUGGGAUUUAUUUUACUGUUUAUAAAUUAUUUGAACAAGACGUACCUACUCUCUUCGCCAGUGAAUACACCAAAGAUAUAUUUGAUGUCUUAUUAUAGAUUGAAAUAAGGCUUGGCCAUUUGAUAUUUAAUAGUAGGGUCAUUCUAUAAAAUGCAUUUAUGAUGUUUACAUAUGUAAAAAGUUAUCAUGCCACAUAAUGUUGCCAUAGCAUAAUUUUACGAAAAAAGAAAUGUAAAAUGUGUUUUCUAAUUAACGAGAAGUUGUACUUUUUUGUCUUUUAUUAAUUUAUAUUUUUGUUAAUCAGGUAGUAUACAAUUUGAGGUAUAGUUGACCAAAGAGCUUCACAAAAUUUAAUAGUAUAUUUUUAUUAUAAUAAUUAUAUUUUGUUAUAGAUUAUAGGUAUCAUUAAAGUUGUUAUAGUAUUGUUUUUAACAGUAGGGUAUGCUGUAUAGGUUAUACUCGGAUCUCAAAGGAUAAUUAUUGAGUAAUUAAACCAGCAAUUGUUUUGACUUUUACACGCUACCUGAAUUAUUAAUCUGUUAACUGGUAAGUUUUGGUUAAGCUAUUGACAUCUGACAUAGAGAUAAAGUUUGGUUUACAUUAUUAGUACAACAGAAAAAAGCGGUUGUUUAACAGGUAUUUUAGAGGGGAUGAUUGUACGUUUUGGUAAUAUUAUUUUACUAAGAUUCUUUGUUUUUUCUUUUAGUAAACACAUGCAUUUCUGGAGCAGUAUACCACAUAUAUAACUAAAUAUUGACUGCUGAUUAUACAUUGACAGUUGUUAUGUAUCCAGGUAUUUUAUUUUAAUAGAAGAAAAUUUUCUCCAAGUUAUAUUUUGUCUCUUGCUUCAUUUUUACUCUUAUUGUCAAACACAUACUUAAUUAAUAACCAUGUUGUUACUGUGCAUGGAGAAUUUAUUAUUUAUUUGUAUUUGGUUUCGGUUCAUCAAGAUUCUGGUUACUUUAACAGUAUUGCCUAGUAAAUUAGAAAAGGAAUCAUACAAAGUGAUUUCUCUAACUUUUAGUUCUUAUAAGCAACCGUAUGCGUUUUUUGCCAAAAGAAACUCGUACUUGAUUUUGAACAUUGCGAAAUCGAAUAGAUAAAUUUUUAUUGAUUUUACUCCAUAACUUUAACAGUGUAGAACUUCUCGAUGUUAUUUUUUGGAUGCCAUAAAAAUUCUUACACUUUCAUAGCAGCUAAGUAAUCGAUUCAACUAAGGUAGCUAUCAUAAUAGAUUAUGUCAAAGACAACAUAGCAUGGUUAAUGUCAGGCCCCGACAGUAAAUUUUUUAAUUUGAUUUUAUUAGGGGAUGCUUAUAACAAAAAGAACUCUAGGUUGUUAUUAUCUACAUGUACAUUAAUAUUUGAAUUAAGAAGGUAGAACUAUGCUUUACUAAAGGACAAUAAGGUGUUUCAAAGGCUUUUGAUCUCAAUGUUUUUUUUACCUGAAAGGCAUUUUUAGGGUUCCGUGGUGAACUAAUAACUCUUCGAGUUUCGGUUUGCUUGUGAGUCUGUAAACCAGUUCUCUUAUACUCGUUAUUUAUUUUCCAUUAUGACGGCAUAAAACAUGAUGGCAUUAAAAUAAAAAAGCGAGGAUUUCAUACUAUAGGGUGAUAACUUGAUUUUCUAUUAUUAGUAGCAUAAUAAUUCCAAUAAUGUGUGUUGAGAACAACAGCCAAUGGAAGUACCUUAUCCUUUAUUUCUACCGUUGCUUUUUGUUAAGUGCUCAGUGAAAUUCAUUUUUUUCUUUUUUGUUUCAUCACGAAAAACUCCUAGAGCUACUUCUAGUCCAGAAACUUAUUUUCUUGUUAGUAUGUUUUAUCUUCAGGCUGUCUAUAUUUGAUAAUAAAAGUCGUUAAGUACA